rnacentral:rRNA from 1 species
GUGGCAGGGCGGCAUGCCUUAACAUGCAGUCGAACGGCAGCACGGGUGCUUGCACCUGGUGGCGAGUGGCGAACGGGUGAGUAAUACAUCGGAACAUGUCCUGUAGUGGGGGAUAGCCCGGCGAAAGCCGGAUUAAUACCGCAUACGAUCUACGGAUGAAAGCGGGGGACCUUCGGGCCUCGCGCUAUAGGGUUGGCCGAUGGCUGAUUAGCUAGUUGGUGGGGUAAAGGCCCACCAAGGCGACGAUCAGUAGCUGGUCUGAGAGGACGACCAGCCACACUGGGACUGAGACACGGCCCAGACUCCUACGGGAGGCAGCAGUGGGGAAUUUUGGACAAUGGGCGAAAGCCUGAUCCAGCAAUGCCGCGUGUGUGAAGAAGGCCUUCGGGUUGUAAAGCACUUUUGUCCGGAAAGAAAUCCUGAGGGCUAAUAUCCUUCGGGGAUGACGGUACCGGAAGAAUAAGCACCGGCUAACUACGUGCCAGCAGCCGCGGUAAUACGUAGGGUGCGAGCGUUAAUCGGAAUUACUGGGCGUAAAGCGUGCGCAGGCGGUUUGUUAAGACCGAUGUGAAAUCCCCGGGCUCAACCUGGGAACUGCAUUGGUGACUGGCAAGCUAGAGUAUGGCAGAGGGGGGUAGAAUUCCACGUGUAGCAGUGAAAUGCGUAGAGAUGUGGAGGAAUACCGAUGGCGAAGGCAGCCCCCUGGGCCAAUACUGACGCUCAUGCACGAAAGCGUGGGGAGCAAACAGGAUUAGAUACCCUGGUAGUCCACGCCCUAAACGAUGUCAACUAGUUGUUGGGGAUUCAUUUCCUUAGUAACGUAGCUAACGCGUGAAGUUGACCGCCUGGGGAGUACGGUCGCAAGAUUAAAACUCAAAGGAAUUGACGGGGACCCGCACAAGCGGUGGAUGAUGUGGAUUAAUUCGAUGCAACGCGAAAAACCUUACCUACCCUUGACAUGGUCGGAACCUUGGAGAGAUCUGAGGGUGCUCGAAAGAGAACCGAUACACAGGUGCUGCAUGGCUGUCGUCAGCUCCUGUCCUGAGAUGUUGGGUUAAGUCCCGCACGAGCGCAACCCUUGUCCUUAUUUGCUACGCAGAAACACUCUUGGGAGACUGCCGGUGACAAACCCGAAGAAAGUGGGGAUAGAGUCCAGUCCCUCGGCCCCUUUGGGUGGGGGUUCCGCCGUCCUAAAAAGGUUGGGAAA